rnacentral:lncRNA from 1 species
UUUUUUUUUCCCGUCAAACUGAUUUUAUUGAUAUCAAAGUUUGUGAUCAACACAAACCAAACAGAAACCAACGGAUACAAGAACCUUCCGUGGUUAGUUAAACCGGCAGAACAUAGAGAUAUCUCCGGGCACUAGAACCCACAACGGGGCAACAUACAAGAUUAAGAAAAAUUACAACCUUAACAUAAGUGAUAAUCUUUCAAACUUCCCGCACAAGUCUAACAAUAACAGGGAGAUUGUCCGAAAGAGCCUCUAUGACACGAGCUUAGAGGGAAUGCCCUCGGCUAGACCACCGCUAAACCACCUCCUCCUAGUACUCUGAAGAAACACCUCAAGGACCCAGAAACAGAACCUUCAUAAUCCGGCAAGUUAAGACACUUGCUAACACUCCCGGAAACGGCUUGAUCUACGACGACCAUAGAACGCCUAGGUAUGAAGCGACAAACACAACAGAUCUCCGCAAGAUCUAAACAACCAACUAGGGGCGAGGCCCACUUAAUCCGGAAGACAAGAACAGGCCGCAAACAGCAUAAGCCGUGAACAGCAAAAUAGAGGACAAAGUGGUAGCCACCACAAACUCAAAGAGGACAAACAUCACCUGCAGAAAGAGACCAAGCCGGAAGCAAAGGAGACCCGCCAAACAAAUGGAUAAACAGAUCCAGACAACGGCUUCGAGACAAGGCUAUUGUAGCAAAACUACACCGUCAAUCCACAGAUCCGGAACUUUUGAAACAAAACACCAACCUGAAUCUGAAAGCCUUUUUCUUUCUUUGGCAAGGGCGAAUCUUCUCCCAAUACGAAAGUAAAUCACACACAGAUGAACUAAUACAC